GCGGGUGUAGCUUAGCGGUUUAAAGCGUCGCUCUGUGGCAGCGAAGAUCGUGGGUUCAAAUCCCAUCACCCGCC
rnacentral:tRNA from 1 species